AUGGAUCGUGGCAAGUUUAAUCCAAGUACCAUGGCAAAUUCAUACUUGAUAACAUGGCAAAAAACAAUUACAAGUGUAAACCUUUUGGUAGCUAAGUUUUCCAUGAUAGAUAGAGCAUUUUCCAUCAAACAUUGCUAUGGCCCAUGGGAAAAACUUUUAAACCUGCACGGUUUCUCAUUUAAUAUCAUGCCAUUUUCUCGUGUAUAUGUCGUUUUUCUGUUUUUACUUCCUGUUGGUUGUGUGCAAGGAAAAUGCAAGUACAUUUGUGUAUUGAAAUAUGAUGAAGUUAAGGAUUUUGUAUCCAUUGACAUGGCAUUGCUCAGAAUAUUUGUGUACAUGCCCGAUGACAAUUUUUGUACAAAUCUUUUUUGUUCUAUCUUAUAUGGCCAUUUUUUUUCCAUUAUAUCAUGGCAAAUUUUCCACACUCAUUUUUGUCAUGAAGUGUGCAUGAACAUCACAGCAAAUCAUGAAAGUUUCUAUAAUAUACCUUUUUUCAUGAUUAUAUGGUAG
rnacentral:rRNA from 1 species